CGUCCUCAUAAUCCUUCGCAAGGGCAGCCAUGUCUCACAGGCCUCAGAAAACUCUCCUUCCUCCAUGCCCUCACCCACAUACCAGUGAACGAAGGCACGCUUGGCAUAUAUCAGGUCAAACUUGUGGUCCAUGAGAGCCCAGACCUCAGAAAUGGCUGUGGUGUUGCUCAGCAACGCGCACAGCUCACUGUACUGUGGCAAGGUCUCCACCAGGUACCACAGUGGGAGGCUGGUAAUUAAUGCCAACACUGAAGCCAGUGGGGCACCAGUCCACAAACUGGAGGGUACACUUGGUCUUGAUGGUGGCAAUGCUAGCAUUGACAUAUUUAGGAACCACAUCACCACAGUACAACAGGGAGCAAACCAAGUAUUUACCAUGGUGAGGGUCAUACUUCACCAUCCGGUUGGCUGGCUCAAAGAAUGCAUUGAUGAUCUCUAUUACAGAAAAUUGUUCAUGGUAGGCUUUCUCAGCAGAGAUAGUAGGGCAUAUGUGGCCAGAGGAAACUGGAUGUGAGGAUAGGGUACCAGACUGAUCUGAAAUCCUGUCAGAUCAACAUUCAGGGCUCCAUCAAAUCUGAGGGAUGCAGUGAUAGAGGGCACAAUUUGACCUAUCAACCUAUUCAGGUUAGUAUAGGUUGAGUGGUCAAUAUUUCUAUAACAGAUGUCAUAGAUGGCCUCAUUGUCUACUGUGAAGGCACAAUCAGAGUGCUCCAGGAUGGUGUGGGUAGUGGGGAUGGAGUUGUAGGGCUCAACUACACCUGUGGAAACCUGGUGGCUAGGUAAAUGGAGAACUCCAGCUUGGCUAUUACUUCACAACUGAGAUAC
rnacentral:lncRNA from 1 species